rnacentral:rRNA from 1 species
AGUGAACGCUGGCGGUAGGCCUAACACAUGCAAGUCGAACGGCAGCACAGUAAGCUCUUGCUCUUACGGUUGGCGAGUGGCGGACGGGUGAGGAAUACAUCGGAAUCUACUUUUUCGUGGGGGAUAACGUAGGGAAACUUACGCUAAUACCGCAUACGACCUACGGGUGAAAGCAGGAGAUCUUCGGACCUUGCGCGAUUGAAUGAGCCGAUGUCGGAUUAGCUAGUUGGCGGGGUAAAGGCCCACCAAGGCGACGAUCCGUAGCCGGUCUGAGAGGAUGAUCAGCCACACUGGAACUGAGACACGGUCCAGACUCCUACGGGAGGCAGCAGUGGGGAAUAUUGGACAAUGGGCGCAAGCCUGAUCCAGCCAUACCGCGUGAGUGAAGAAGGCCUUCGGGUUGUAAAGCCCUUUUGUUGGGGAAGAAAAGCAGCGGGUUAAUACCCCGCUGUUCUGACGGUACCCAAAGAAUAAGCACCGGCUAACUUCGUG